GCCCUCGUAACUCAGUUUGGACAGACCGACGAUGCGCAGCAUCGUAUUUGGUCUAUAGUGCCAGCCUUCUAAGCUGGAAGUCGCGCGUUCAAAUCGCGCCGGGGGCG
rnacentral:tRNA from 1 species